rnacentral:misc_RNA from 1 species
UCUCCAGAUUGGACCAUUCUAUUUGUGGUCGAGUAAGCAGCAGCAUGCGUGAUAUUUCAUCUAACACUGACAUUAAUGGUAAAGGAAGUGAACAAACCCAAGCAAAUAAUUCACGGCAGGUCGUCGAUGAAUUUCAUGAACAAACUGAGUCAAAUAUUGAGGAAAGUGACAACCACAGGUUAUCAGAUGGUAGAACUGACAUAGGAAGUAACAUUUUUGAAGAUAGAAGUUCUCAGGAGCCUACUUCUGCUUCAGAAGCAGAGUCGGGACAAGUCUCGGAGAACGAGAUAAGAGACGGGCAACAAUCCAUGAGUGUUGAGUUUGUUGAAAGUAGACAUGGUACUAGAGAAGAGGCGAAUGGGAACCGGAGAGAACGUAUCAAUGAAAAUGUAUCUGAAGAGCCUAUUCCUCUGUCAUCAACCAGCGAAGUAUUUUCUCAACAAGUAGAGCCAAAUGGAAAUGAAAGUUCUGCUCCCAUCUUAUCCAAUCAUGUGGAU